rnacentral:lncRNA from 1 species
GUUAACUCUGGAAGGCGAGUCCUACCACAAGAGCUGCUUCAAGUGCUCGCACGGCGGCUGCAUCCUGACCACCUCCUCUUAUGCCGCGCUCAACGGCGUCUUGUACUGCAAGAUCCACUUCGCGCAGCUGUUCAUGGAGAAGGGGAGCUACAACCACAUGAACAAGAAGAGCCCGUCCCAGGAGGUUCUGCCGGACGUGGCUGACGAGGAGCAACCGCCGGAACCAGCGCCACCGCAAGAUGAGAAAGAAGAGGACAACUAGGAUCGGAGCGACCAACAACCACCCAUGCAUAUAUAUCACGCAGACUGAAGUCUACACGUUUGCCAUAUUUCUUUACGACGACGACGCUUCUUUAUUCCCUCCUCCCUUUUUUUUCCUCUUAAUCUCUCUGUGAACCCGGUUUAUCAUCACGCUGCAAUCAAGUGUGCCAGAUGCCUUCGUUACGUCUGAGGCUCACGACAAUGGAAAAUCUGACAUGGACCUGUCUUAGCCUCGCGGAAAAAAAUUGUAACUUUGUAAGCAGAGCCACUUCUUUGAAUAUAUGAUCCUAACAACGCUGCCCUUAAUACUUAUGCAGUUGUUCUAUACUUCUAUAGUUGCCACCACAUCCGUUACAUCACUGUGUGUGUGUGUGUGUGUGUGUGUGAGAGAGAGAGAGAGAGAGAGAGAGAGAGAGAGAGAGAGAGAGAGAGAGAGAGAGAGAGUAACCCUUGAAAAGUUACACAAAGGGUACUUCUUCUCUGCGGAAGAAGAACACGCCAGUUGGGCCUCCUUCCGGCAAUAGCGCCACCGCAACAAUGCAACUGGCACCGUCUUCCGCGGUGUAUUCGCCGGUGUCAAAGUUGAUGUCGGUCUUGCAGAAGCCAGGGUGCACGCAGUUGAUGCGCAACUCUGGGUGCGCCUUCGCCAGUAUCCUGGUGUAGCCAUUGGUCAGAGCCUUGGAUACCUUGUAGGCCAGGUACUCAGAGUCGGCAGGCCACCCAUGAGAUUUCAGCUGCCCACUCCUGUAGUCUUUCAGGAACAACUCCGGCAUCUCAUCUAGCCUCUCAACCGUCAGGUUGUCAAUAUCGUUUAGCUCUUGCUUAAGAUCUUCGCCACUGAAAUGCUGGAAAACAAAGACGAAGAAUUGGAUAACGAAAAUUGUAGUUCCAUUCCAUCUGAGGAUUAGUGCCUGCAGAUUAAAUUGUUGUAUGAUUGUUCAGAACUUCAGAUAUAUAGGUAUACCUGGAGUAGUCCAUAGUUGGAUGACACGUUGAUGAGCCGUCCGUCAGAGGAGGAUAUAAGGAUUGGGAGGAGUGCUUCGGUCACAUAUUUGGUGCCGAAGUAGUUUAUUUUCAGGCAUUCUCUUGCUUCCUCGUAACUCUCCGUGGAGUGCUGCACCAACCAUUGUAGCCUCUCCAUGGCGUUCUUGCCUACGAGCUGUUUGAUGCACCGGGUUAAGCCAAGUUUACCACUUCAGCUCAAGGGACCAAGAAAAGGGAAACUACAAAGAGACCACUACUACUGCUAGUUCUAAUCUUGCAUAGUAGAACCAAGCACUAACUUAAAUGGUCGACUAAGUACCAUAACGCUCCUUGAACCCAAGAAUAUGCAACUUGAUGGUUAUAAUUGUGUUCUUUUUUCAUCUUAUGUUGGACUACUCUUUCCCUCAGCAUUCUGGUUCACUUCGAAUUUGAUUGUGCCCAGUAGCAGUGAUCCAUUCGAUAUCUUGGAAAGCUUCAAAGAACAACUCCCCUUCUUCAUGGAGAUUGCAAUCACAAUUUGUUGGGCUAUUUGGGCAAUAAUGCGCAAUGACACCAUUUUAAGCAACAUGCCACAUUCAGUGUAAAUUAAAGAUGCAAGAUUGUCUUGAAGAAACAGUUUCCUCUAGUUAUCCUAAGAGCUAAAGAAAAUUACCACUCCUACAUAGAUUUAUGGCUAGAAGCCAUUGUGUAAUUCUUUCUAUUUUCUUUUUGACCUUUUUUUUUGUCUCUUGAGGAUUGUUUGCUAUCUGAUCAACCUGUCUCAUCUUUAAGGGACGCUUUCUAUCUACGCCCCCUCUAUGAAAUGUACUUGUAUGUGAU